GCAAACUUGGUCAUUUAGAGGAAGUAAAAGUCGUAACAAGGUUUCCGUAGGUGAACCUGCGGAAGGAUCAUUAAAAGAAGAAAGAUCGAACCCGACGAACGUGCGGGGCCCGAUCGAAUCCAUAUCCACCCCGUGUGCACGCAUCGACCGUUUGCUUUGGCAGGGGGAGAAGGAGCCUUCGAUCCGGAGGCGCCGGGAGGACACACACACGCGCGUGGCCUCGUCCUGCCAGAGUUUUUCUUGUCUUUCUCUCUCUUUUUAUCUGCUUAGACUGAACCUUCGUCUCGAUUCUCUUUGCAAUCGGUCGAACCGGAUACAACUUUCAACAACGGAUCUCUUGGCUCUCGCAUCGAUGAAGAACGCAGC
rnacentral:misc_RNA from 1 species